rnacentral:rRNA from 1 species
GAAUAUUGGUCAAUGGGCGCAAGCCUGAACCAGCCAUGCCGCGUGCAGGAUGAAGCAUCUAUGGUGUGUAAACUGCUUUUGUACGGGAAGAAAAAAAGCUACGUGUAGUUUACUGACGGUACCGUAAGAAUAAGGAUCGGCUACCUCCGUGCCAGCAGCCGCGGUAAUACGGAGGAUCCAAGCGUUAUCCGGAAUCAUUGGGUUUAAAGGGUCCGUAGGCGGCCUUAUAAGUCAGCGGUGAAAGUUUUUGGCUUAACCAAAAAAUUGCCAUUGAUACUGUAGGGCUUGAAUUAUUGUGAAGUAACUAGAAUAUGUAGUGUAGCGGUGAAAUGCUUAGAUAUUACAUGGAAUACCAAUUGCGAAGGCAGGUUACUAACAAUGGAUUGACGCUGAUGGACGAAAGCGUGGGUAGCGAACAGG